AUAUAAAAAGCGAGAAUUUUUGCAUCUGACUUCGGAUCAGAUUUUGGGGGUGUGAGUCCCUCUUUAUAUU
rnacentral:tRNA from 1 species